rnacentral:lncRNA from 1 species
CGGAGUCUCGGUGCGAUUACGGGAUUUUCGGCGUAUUACGGCGAUCGGUUUGGGAAACCGAUUCUCGUGGGUAUAUUUGAGGGGUUAUGCUUUUACGGUUUCUUAGUUGUGGGUUAGAUACUAACCCGGUGGACCUUCCUGAGGUCCGGUUGACGUUCUUUUGCAGUCAGGAGAUAGGCGCGACAUUUGUACAGGUGGGUACUUCGAUCCGACGUUGGUAAAGUGGUGCACGCUUGGUGAUGGUUUCUU